UUGUAUGCCGGAAGGGAUAAAUCUGGGGCUGAGUACAAGCAAAACAAGACCAAAGGAAGCUACCUGAGCAGGUAUUCCAGAUACUCAUGUCAUACACCAAGGUUGUACCAGUGCCCCUUUCUCUGUGACACAUCCAUCCACUGGAAACUUUCGUACAACUAGCUGAAAGAAGAGAAACAUCCUAUUUCAUGUCACUGGAGCCCUAAUGAUCGCAGCCAUUUCAGGAAAUGCCAUCAAUUACAGUGAGGAGCUCAUUCAGAAGUGAAAGAUGAGUUCCAUUCUCUGUUACUUAGAGCUGGAGGGAGGAUGGCAUUUCAAGAGGUGGCAAGUGGUCCUUCUUCACAGUCAUAUCUCUCAUUCUGCAAGCCAAAGACUCAAUGGUGGAUAUCCUCCUCCACUGAAUGCAAACUAUUAAGUAAUGAAAAGACAGCACUCCAAGCAAUAUAGAUUUAUAGGCCAACCUGGCAAUCAAGGGUAACUGACAUGAAAAUGGAUUGCUUCACAUUUUAAUUACAAAGAUACUCUUCAGUACCAUAAAUUGAAGAAAACACUAACUUUUUGUGGCUACUGUAAUUGUCAAAGUAUAAUUACCUGUGUUUUCUCACCUACGUAUUUGAGAUAGAGACAAAACCAAGUAAGUUAAUCCACUUAUAAUAAAAAUGUCUUCUGAGAAUA
rnacentral:lncRNA from 1 species